ACAUGCAAGUCGCACGAGAAAGUCCCCUUCGGGGGAUGAGUAAAGUGGCGCACGGGUGAGGAACGCGUAGGUAAUCUACCCUCAGGCGGGGGACAACACUCCGAAAGGAAUGCUAAUACCGCGUAAGACCACACUUACUAAGGUGAGAGUGGUAAAAGAUGGCCUCUUCUUGAAAGCUAUCACCAGAGGAUGAGCCUGCGUCCCAUCAGCUUGUUGGUAAGGUAACGGCUUACCUAGGCGAAGACGGGUAGCUGGUCUGAGAGGAUGAUCAGCCACACUGGCACUGGAACACGGGCCAGACUCCUACGGGAGGCAGCAGUGAGGAAUAUUGGGCAAUGGGCGCAAGCCUGACCCAGCCACGCCGCGUGUGUGAUGAAGGCCUUCGGGUCGUAAAGCACUGUGGGGAGGGACGAAAAAUCUCCGUUCGAAUAGGGCGGAGGCUUGACGGUACCUCCUUAGCAAGCACCGGCUAACUCUGUG
rnacentral:rRNA from 1 species